AUUGAACGCUGGCGGCAUGCCUUACACAUGCAAGUCGAACGGUAGCACGAAGAAAGCUUGCUUUCUUUGGUGACGAGUGGCGAACGGGUGAGUAAUGUAUCGGAACGUACCCAGUAGCGGGGGAUAACUACGCGAAAGCGUGGCUAAUACCGCAUACGCCCUACGGGGGAAAGGGGGGGAUCGCAAGACCUCUCACUAUUGGAGCGGCCGAUAUCGGAUUAGCUAGUUGGUGGGGUAAAGGCCCACCAAGGCGACGAUCCGUAGCUGGUUUGAGAGGACGACCAGCCACACUGGGACUGAGACACGGCCCAGACUCCUACGGGAGGCAGCAGUGGGGAAUUUUGGACAAUGGGCGAAAGCCUGAUCCAGCAAUGCCGCGUGAGUGAAGAAGGCCUUCGGGUUGUAAAGCUCUUUUGUUUGGGAAGAAAUCCUAACGGAUAAUACCUGUUGGGGAUGACGGUACCAAAAGAAUAAGCACCGGCUAACUACGUGCCAGCCGCCACAGUAACAC
rnacentral:rRNA from 1 species